GGGGGUAUAGGUCAGAGGUAGAGUGUGUGCUUAGCAUGCUUGAGGUCCUGGGCUCAAUCCCCAGUACCUCCA
rnacentral:tRNA from 1 species